AACGUAGGACGCAAGCGUUAUCCGGAGUUACUGGGCGUAAAGCGCGGGCAGGCGGCUCGAAACGUCUGAUGUGAAAUCUCCUCGCUCAACGGGGAGAGGCCAUUGGAAACGGUCGGGCUGGAGGGCAGUAGAGGCAGGCGGAAUUCCGGGUGGAGUGGUGAAAUGCGCAGAUAUCGGGAAGAACACCUAUGGCGAAGGCAGCUCUCUGGGACGGUACUGACGCUGAGAAGCGAAAGCAUGGGGAGCGAACAGG
rnacentral:rRNA from 1 species